ACUGAUGUGUUGUUGGGUAGGGGAGCGUUCUGUAAGCCGUUGAAGGUGGCCUGUGAGGGUUGCUGGAGGUAUCAGAAGUGCGAAUGCUGACAUAAGUAACGAUAAAGCGGGUGAAAAGCCCGCUCGCCGGAAGACCAAGGGUUCCUGUCCAACGUUAAUCGGGGCAGGGUGAGUCGACCCCUAAGGCGAGGCCGAAAGGCGUAGUCGAUGGGAAACGGGUUAAUAUUCCCGUACUUGGUGUUACUGCGAAGGGGGGACGGAGAAGGCUAUGUUGGCCGGGCGACGGUUGUCCCGGUUUAAGCGUGUAGGUGUGUGUUCCAGGUAAAUCCGGUUCACUUUAACACUGAGGCGUGAUGACGAGGCACCACGGUGCUGAAGCAACAAAUGCCCUGCUUCCAGGAAAAGCCUCUAAGCCUCAGGUAACAUCAAAUCGUACCCCAAACCGACACAGGUGGUCAGGUAGAGAAUACCAAGGCGCUUGAGAGAACUCGGGUGAAGGAACUAGGCAAAAUGGUGCCGUAACUUCGGGAGAAGGCACGCUGACACGUAGGUGAAGUGGUUUACCCAUGGAGCUGAAGUCAGUCGAAGAUACCAGCUGGCUGCAACUGUUUAUUAAAAACACAGCACUGUGCAAACACGAAAGUGGACGUAUACGGUGUGACGCCUGCCCGGUGCCGGAAGGUUAAUUGAUGGGGUCAGCGCAAGCGAAGCUCCUGAUCGAAGCCCCGGUAAACGGCGGCCGUAACUAUAACGGUCCUAAGGUAGCGAAAUUCCUUGUCGGGUAAGUUCCGACCUGCACGAAUGGCGUAAUGAUGGCCAGGCUGUCUCCACCCGGGACUCAGUGAAAUUGAACUCGCUGUGAAGAUGCAGUGUACCCGCGGCAAGACGGAAAGACCCCGUGAACCUUUACUAUAGCUUGACACUGAACACUGGUCCUUGAUGUGCAGGAUAGGUGGGAGGCUUUGAAGUGUGGACGCCAGUCUGCAUGGAGCCAUCCUUGAAAUACCACCCUUUAAUGGCUGGUGUUCUAACGUGGGCCCGUGAACCGGGUUGCGGACAGUGUCUGGUGGGUAGUUUGACUGGGGCGGUCUCCUCCUAAAGAGUAACGGAGGAGCACGAAGGUUGGCUAAUCCUGGUCGGACAUCAGGAGGUUAGUGCAAUGGCAUAAGCCAGCUUGACUGCGAGCGUGACGGCGCGAGCAGGUGCGAAAGCAGGUCAUAGUGAUCCGGUGGUUCUGAAUGGAAGGGCCAUCGCUCAACGGAUAAAAGGUACUCCGGGGAUAACAGGCUGAUACCGCCCAAGAGUUCAUAUCGACGGCGGUGUUUGGCACCUCGAUGUCGGCUCAUCACAUCCUGGGGCUGAAGUAGGUCCCAAGGGUAUGGCUGUUCGCCAUUUAAAGUGGUACGCGAGCUGGGUUUAGAACGUCGUGAGACAGUUCGGUCCCUAUCUGCCGUGGGCGCUGGAAGAUUGAGGGGGGCUGCUCCUAGUACGAGAGGACCGGAGUGGACGCAUCACUGGUGUUCGGGUUGUCAUGCCAAUGGCACUGCCCGGUAGCUACAUGCGGAAGAGAUAAGUGCUGAAAGCAUCUAAGCACGAAACUUGCCCCGAGAUGAAUCUUCCCUGAGCCUUUAAGGCUCCUGAAGGAACGUUGAAGACGACGACGUUGAUAGGCCGGGUGUGUAAGCGCAGCGAUGCGUUGAGCUAACCGGUACUAAUGAACCGUGAGGCUUAACCUUACA
rnacentral:rRNA from 1 species